AGAGUUUGAUCCUGGCUCAGAAUGAACGCUGGCGGCAUGCCUAACACAUGCAAGUCGAACGGUAACAGACCGCUGUGAUCCCUUCGGGGUGAACUUGGUGCUGACGAGUGGCGGACGGGUGAGUAAUGCAUAGGAAUCUGCCCAGUAGCGGGGGACAACUCGGGGAAACCCGAGCUAAUACCGCAUACGCCCUACGGGGGAAAGCGGGGGACCUUCGGGCCUCGCACUAUUGGAUGAGCCUAUGUCUGAUUAGCUUGUUGGCGGGGUAAUGGCCCACCAAGGCGACGAUCCAUAGCUGGUCUGAGAGGAUGAUCAGCCACACUGGAACUGGAACACGGUCCAGACUCCUACGGGAGGCAGCAGUGAGGAAUUUUGCGCAAUGGGGGAAACCCUGACGCAGCAACGCCGCGUGAGUGAUGAAGGCCUUCGGGUCGUAAAGCUCUGUCAAGUGGGAAGAACCUGCCCUGUGCUAAUAUCACCGGGCAUUGACGGUACCACUGAAGGAAGCACCGGCUAACUCCGUGCCAGCAGCCGCGGUAACACGGAGGGUGCAAGCGUUAUUCGGAAUCACUGGGCGUAAAGAGCGCGUAGGCGGUCUCUUAAGUCAGAUGUGAAAGCCCGGGGCUCAACCCCGGAAGUGCAUUUGAAACUAAGGGACUUGAGUAUGGGAGAGGGAAGUGGAAUUCCUGGUGUAGCGGUGAAAUGCGUAGAUAUCAGGAGGAACACCGGUGGCGAUGGCGACUUCCUGGACCAAUACUGACGCUGAGGCGCGAAGGCGUGGGGAGCAAACAGGAUUAGAUACCCUGGUAGUCCACGCAGUAAACGUUGAACACUAGGUGUAGCGGGUAUUGACCCCUGCCGUGCCGCAGCUAACGCAUUAAGUGUUCCGCCUGGGGAGUACGGCCGCAAGGCUAAAACUCAAAGGAAUUGACGG
rnacentral:rRNA from 1 species